rnacentral:lncRNA from 1 species
UGAGACUACUGGUGUGUGCCACCAAGCCCAGCUCAUGACCCACUUUCAAUUCUCAUCUUCCAAAAGAAAAAGAUUUCUGGACUCACGAAUCUGUAGCAAGAUCCAGGACUUAGGAGAGAGGACAUGUGGAGAUCCAUGACGGUCAGUGCCAAGUCUCUAGUCCUCUGGAAUGAACUCAAUUUUAAUGGAGCAUGAAGAUUUACCUACAUAUUAGAGGCAUUCUACAACCUUGGAUGAAAAAAGAAACCACAUUCUCUGGUUCAAUUCCAUAAUAAAUUUGGACUUUUCAGUCA